UCACUUCUUGCGAAGGCAGUCUCUCUAGAGUCCCCACCAUUACGUGCUGGCAACUAAAGAUAGGGGUUGCGCUCGUUGCGGGACUUAACCCAACAUCUCACGACACGAGCUGACGACGGCCAUGCAGCACCUGAACCAGGGGUCCCCGAAGGGAAGACCUCAUCUCUGAGGCUGUCCCCUGUUGUCUAGCCCAGGUAAGGUUCUUCGCGUUGCGUCGAAUUGAACCACAUGCUCCACCGCUUGUGCGGGCCCCCGUCAAUCCCUUUGAGUUUUAACCUUGCGGCCGUACUCCCCAGGCGGUGGGCUUAAUGCGUUAGCUGCGACACCGAGGGGCAUGCCCCCCAACGUCUAGCCCACAUCGUUUAGGGCGUGGACUAC
rnacentral:misc_RNA from 1 species